rnacentral:rRNA from 1 species
UACGUAGGAGGCAAGCGUUGUCCGGAUUUACUGGGCGUAAAGAGCGUGUAGGCGGUUCGUUAAGUCCGCUGUGAAGUCUCUGGGCUCAACUCAGAGUAGUCGGUGGAAACUAGCGAACUUGAGGACGGUAGAGGGGGUGGAAUUCCUGGUGUAGCGGUGGAAUGCGCAGAUAUCAGGAGGAACACCGGUGGCGAAGGCGGGUCUCUGGGCAGUAACUGACGCUGAGGAGCGAAAGCGUGGGGAGCGAACAGG